rnacentral:rRNA from 1 species
UACAGAGGGUGCGAGCGUUUAAUCGGAAUUACUGGGCGUAAAGCGCGCGUAGGCGGCUUUGCAAGUCGGGUGUGAAAUCCCCAGGCUUAACCUGGGAACUGCAUUCGAGACUGCAUUGCUAGAGUAUGGGAGAGGGAAGUGGAAUUUCCGGUGUAGCGGUGAAAUGCGUAGAUAUCGGAAGGAACGCCGGUGGCGAAAGCGACGCGCUGGGCCCCUCCUGACGCUGAGGCGCGAAAGCCAGGGGAGCAAACGGG